UAUAGUGUCAGCCUACCCUAAAGGCACCAGAUUCCAUCUGAUCUUGGAAGUUAAAAGGGUCAGUCCUGGGGCAGUACCUCGAUGGGAGACCACCAACAAUACUGAUUGAUGUAGGCUAUAU
rnacentral:rRNA from 11 species